rnacentral:ncRNA from 1 species
AAAUAUUUCAUUGACGUACCAAGUUGACUGCACUAAUUAAACUACAUAUGGUAGCCCACGCACAUUGUGCCUAAGCGGUUAACCCAUGCCUAAGCCUUCAACAGACUCAGGCUAAUAAGUUAACCCAAGACCCUACUCCCGAGUCUAUGGCCCUGCCCACAACACCAAUGUUCUAUAUUAGCCCAGCUAGGAAACUAGGCCCUAGAAAACAAGUAAACAGGGGUGGCUAAAGUGGUGCCAGCAGUCGCGGUUAUACCUCUAUCCCAAGUUAAUUAUCUCAGACAAGGACAAACCACUAUAUGGCUUAAGGAUUACCUUCUUACGUAAAAAAUAAAUUAUAACUAAAACCAACCAAGCCCUAUCUUUAGUCCCAACAAACCACAACCUCAAAACUCGGAUUAGAUACCCGACUAUUGUGUGGCCCAACAAAAAAAGAAUACUAUAAGCGAAAGCUCAAACCUCAAACAAUGUGGCGGUGCUUAACUCCUCAUCAGGGGAUCCUGUGUCUUAAUUCGAUAAUCCACGAAAACCUUAGCUUUUCUAGUACCCAGCUUGUGUAUGGCCGUUUAUGCUUGCUCAAAAAAGACCCCAAAGGAAGCAACGGGGCCAUCUCCCCCCAAUUCAGGUGACAUACAGCUAAUGGAAAGCUGACUCAUGGGAUACAAAUAAAUACACUACCAGACUUAAGACUCAAACCCUUAACAAAGGAGGACUUGAAAGUAAGACCUACAUACAUAAAAUUAGUCUGAACAAGAACUUAAGCGCGCACAAAUCGCCCGUCACUCCGGCAGUAAAGCCGGAUAAGUCGUAACACAGUAGGGGUAAUGGAAAUUGCCCCUAGCACG